GACUUGGUAGCUCAGCUGGUAGAGCAUCUCCCUUUUAAGGAGAGGGUCCUGGGUUCGAACCCCAGCCAAGUCA
rnacentral:tRNA from 4 species